CCAGUUUCAAAUUCCCCCCAUUACAGAGGGUUAGGCCCUUGAGCAAGACACUUAAUCUUCAACUGCUCAGAUGCACUCUAAAAAAUGAUUCUGUGGCCUUGUAAAUUUCACAGUUAUAAAAAAGUUAUGUUACCUUAAUAAAAUCUCUAAAAGUCACAUACAUGAUUGUUUGAGUUAGACAAAUCAAAAUAAAUGCCUAAAAAAACAAUUAUUCAUUUUGUCUUAAAUUUACACUAUAAUUUAAGUUUACUUCACUAGUAAAAAUCAGUAUUUGACUAACUGAAUUAUAUUUUUAACAUGCACUUAAUAUUUUUUGAUACAUUUCAAUCAAAAUAUCUGUUAAUGGAGUAAUUGUACUGAUUAGUUUCAAGAACUACAAUUAUAAAUUAUUCCAACUCAAUAUUCUUUAUUUUUAACAACAAAAACUUAAAUAAUUGAGUAAAUUGCCCUGUGCAAGUGCUCAUGGGAAGUCUGGUGUAACAUCAGAGACAAGAAGGCUGUGAGGAUGUGAGAAUGGACAUGAAGCACCUGGAACAUUCCUUACAAAUCCUGCACCAACACCACUAAUGAAGAGAAGUUGAAUGGAGAUAAAACAGGAGGUGCCAGUUUAUGGGAUGGCGGUGUAAGCUCUGCACAUUUGUCGUAUCAUCAAAAGGAAUUUCGAUCAUUACCGAGUGAAGCAUGGUACUGUUGGUCAUGGAUAUUUAGUGUCCUGUCUUCAUUUAGACUGUCAUUGCAUUUUUAAGACCUGAGAAGGUCUGCACACACAUUUGUAUGGAUCCCACAGUUUGCAGGAAACUGAAGUGUGAAGGUGUGCAAUCUUACAGAUGUAAAAUGUGACUCAUUAGAUUCUAAUACAAAAGUCUACUUUCCACAUGUUAACUGUAUAAUACUUGUGGCAGAAGUAUUGUUUGUGAAACUGUUUACUAAUAAGAUAAAUCCAGCUCUCUGUUUAUGAUCUUGUUACAUGUCAUUUGCAAAGUAAACCAGGUUGAGUUUAGACUUCAUGUCUUGUCAAAUUUGGCAAAUAAAUGUUUAAUUAAAAUGAAAAUGUGUGUAUUGUUUCUUUUAUUUAGUUAAAAUAUUUAGUAAAUGUAGCA